rnacentral:rRNA from 1 species
GACGAACCGUCCAAACGUUGUUCGGAAUCACUGGGCUUAAAGGGCGCGUAGGCGGGUCUCCAAGUCGGUGGUGAAAUCUUUCGGCUCAACCGGAAAACAGCCGCCGAUACUGGGGGUCUCGAGGGAGGUAGGGGUCGAUGGAACUUCCGGUGGAGCGGUGAAAUGCGUAGAUAUCGGAAGGAACGCCGGUGGCGAAAGCGAUCGACUGGACCUUUUCUGACGCUGAGACGCGAAAGCGUGGGGAGCGAACAGG